AGCGAACGCUGGCGGCAGGCUUAACACAUGCAAGUCGAACGGGCAUCUUCGGAUGUCAGUGGCAGACGGGUGAGUAACACGUGGGAACGUACCCUUCGGUUCGGAAUAACUCAGGGAAACUUGAGCUAAUACCGGAUACGCCCUUUUGGGGAAAGGUUUACUGCCGAAGGAUCGGCCCGCGUCUGAUUAGCUUGUUGGUGGGGUAACGGCCUACCAAGGCGACGAUCAGUAGCUGGUCUGAGAGGAUGGUCAGCCACACUGGGACUGAGACACGGCCCAGACUCCUACGGGAGGCAGCAGUGGGGAAUAUUGGACAAUGGGCGCAAGCCUGAUCCAGCCAUGCCGCGUGAGUGAUGAAGGCCUUAGGGUUGUAAAGCUCUUUUGUCCGGGACGAUAAUGACGGUACCGGAAGAAUAAGCCCCGGCUAACUUCGUG
rnacentral:rRNA from 1 species